rnacentral:rRNA from 1 species
GACGAACGCUGGCGGCGUGCUUAACACAUGCAAGUCGAGCGAGAGGACCUAACUGACCUACUUCGGUAAGGAUGCUAGGAAGGCGAACGGCGGAGGGGCACGUAACGCGUGGGGAACCUGCUCCGUAGUAUGGGAUACAACCUGGAAAUAGUUCCCAAUACCGGAUAAGAAAGCAGACCGCAUUAUCAGCUUUUAAUAUACGGCGUAAGCAUUAGCUAUGGGCUGGUCCGGCGGUGCAUUAGCUAGUUGGUGAGGUAAAGGCUUACCAAGACGAUGAUGCAUAGCCGAGUUCAGAGACUGAUCGGCGACAUUGGGACUGAGACACGGCCCAGACUCCUACGGGAGGCAGCAGUAGGGAAUCUGACACAAUGGACGCAAGUCUGAUGGAGCAGCGCCGCGUGAGUGAAGAAGGUGUUCGGAUCGUAAAGCUCUGUUGUUGGUGAAGAAGGAGAGGGGUAGUAGCUGGCCGUUUUUUGACGGUAAUCAACCAAAAAGUCACGGCUAACUACGUG